CCCGAGGCCCCACCUGUCAGUUCCUCCCCCAACCUCCAGCUCCCUAGCCGAAACCGCCGUUUCCUCCCCACGUCGCCAAAUCCACCCACGUCGCCGCCGAUCCUAACCCCUCCCGCUCGCGCCCUCGCGCCCAAACCGCAUGAAAUCGGUUCCCCUCCACCUCAUCUACACUUUCCCCACGUUUCCCCCAAAAAUCGGGCCGGGAUCGAGCUCCACUUCGCCCAUGAUGCCGCCCACGCCGCCGGCAGUUGCCGCCCCAAUCCGCCACUCCCCGGCUUCGCCGUCGCUCCCUCGGUCUAUAAAAAGCAUCCACGGGCUCCCUUCUCUCUUUUCCCCAAUUCCCCCGAGCUCUCCCGUGCCACAAAUCGCGCCCGCACCACGAGCCCGUGCGCCGCCGCUUUCCGGCGAGGUCCGGCCGUCGCUCCUCUCCGCCCUAGCCACCGCCGCUAGCAUCGCCACGCCUUGCUCUACCCCGGCCUCCACUCCGUUCUCCCGUUCCGCCACCAGAACCACCUCCCCACCGUGACCCCGAGCCACUUUUGCCAUUGUCACCUUCAGCCGCUCGCGGCGGGCAAUGGACGCCACGUCGGGCCGGCUCGUCUCCACCUUCAGCUUCGCAAGGCCGUGAGGAUGCCCGGCCGCCACUCCGCCCUCGCCAUCCGCUGCCGAGACUCCGUUCUCCCCGCGCGAGGUCACGGCGCCCCUUGGCCGCCCCUCUGUUGGCACCGCCCGUCGCCGGAGCGCCGCCGCCUCUCUCCGCCCGAGCUUCGCCGGCUGCCUCCAACCAUUGCCGUGCCCUCGCGUGUAGUUCUCGUCGUUUCGGAAGUCCGCGGUCGCGAGGAAAAGAGUUCGGAAGAUCAAAGUGAAGAAGCAAGGCAAGUCACACAUUCCCCUUGAGCAUGUUGAUCCCAAUUUAUAAAUGUUUUACCGUUUGCAAAUAAACAUGCAUGUCUUGCUAAUUACAUGGGAUCAGGGUUUACCUAUCUGCUCGCUUGUGCCAUGUUUACUUGAUAUCUGUCCUUUGUCAAUAUUGGGUAAUAAAUCGACUAGCUCAUGUUACUUAUGUGACAUAGCUAGAACUAUAUGCUUAGCCAUGCUUAAUUACCACUAGCUCAGUUGAUGGGAUAAUUACAGUAUUAGAUAUUUUUUUAGUAUCAAAAUGAGCUGCGUGCUCGAGACAUCUGGCCAUGCUUCAUUGUCGUAAUUACCCAACUAAAAUGCGACUGAUUGGUGGGUUGUGGGUGCAUGGUUUUGCUAGUCGCACCCAUGACAAUUAAGGACCGGUUCACGGGAUGCCCUGGAAGAAUUUAUCGUACUUACCACAAGCCAGCGUGGGCAACGGCUGGGCUUGUAGUAUAGCUUUCCUCUAGCCGACGUACCCAGGCGAGGGUGGGCGUGAUGGAGUUGGGUCGGCCGGGGUGUCUGGUUGAUCGGCUUCCGGAUUCACCGCGGCACGAAAGGGGGGCUACCCGUUGCCUGCUGGGGGCGGGGGCGAACCCUAAGGUGUGGUGCGAUCGGUUAGAGGGGGUUAUGCGAAGGGUCCUGUCACGGCCUCUUUCCGGUAUGUCGUGGUGACAUGUCGGCGCACGGAAACGUGUCGUGGGGCUGUGUCUUGUGGGUACAGUUGUACAUCUCUGCUCAGAGUAAAACUAUUCGAAUAGCCGUGCCCGCGGUUAUGGGCGGUCGACCAGAUUCACCGUGAUUAGUCCCACCUUAAUAAAUCGACUCAAUGCACUGUAGUUCAGGUGGGUUGGUUGGGCCUGUUCAACGUGGUGUAGCGUUGAUCAGUGGAGAUUUAAUGUUACUUUAAUUACUCAACAGUUUUACUGCUUUGCUCAAUAAAAUGUUUUACAACCGCCUUUAUGCAAAUAGCCACAAACCGUCCUUGUGUUCCCCUUGCACGUCUGCAUCGUUGGUGUGGCUUGCUGAGUACGGUAGUUGUACUUAGUCUUACUAUUAUUCCCCCUUUUCAGAAGUGUAGUGCUUCUGAGCUGAAGACAGAGUUAGAAGACCAAGGCUCAGACCCCAGUUAAGUUUUGCCUGUGGAGUGGAGCUGAAGCCCCGCUAGGAUUGCCUUUUUCCGCUGCUGCCGUUUUCUUUCGGUGUGAGGACUAAGUGCCUCUUCUGUAAGUAUUUACGCUUUUAUUUAUGUUUGGAACUGUAUAUUACUUGUCGUUUUGUGUACCCUGGCUGGUCUUGGACAGGGAUUUAAUGCACAAAAUAGUCUGGAAAUUUGGGCUAAAUUUCUAGGCGUGUGUACCCGACGACAAAAAACUGAAGGAUCUGAUACUCACCGAAGCUCAUCAAACUCAGUAUUCAAUUCAUCCCGGCACUACCAAAAUGUACCAGGACCUCAAAGAGAAAUUCUGGUGGGCCAGCAUGAGAAGAGAAAUAGCCGAAUUCGUCGCACUCUGCGAUGUUUGUCAACGAGUCAAAGCAGAACAUCAGCGACCCGCUGGACUGCUCUAGCCCCUUCAGAUCCCGGAAUGGAAAUGGGAAGAAAUCGGAAUGUUUACCCAACGGAUUUCCUAGAAAACUUCCACAAUUUUUUUUGCCCCCAAAACUUUCAGAUUUGUAACCAUCGAAUCGUUUCGAGAUUUGUGCAUGAAGAGAAAAAAAUUGCUAGAUAAAGAAAUUUUCACACAUGCCA